rnacentral:rRNA from 1 species
UUCAUCGCUCGCGAUGUUUAACUGGCCAGAUUGUGGGACGUCCUACCGGUGGGCUUAGCCAACGUCGUUCGAACGGCCCUUCGCGGGGUUCGCGCGGCGGCGAAGGCGGCCCAGCUUCAACCCUUCGCCAUGCUCUUCAUCGAGUGUGGAGGUGGGCCGGUACGUUUACUUUGAACAAAUUAGAGUGCUCAAAGCAGGCUGAAUAUCGCCUGAAUACUUAGUGCAUGGAAUAAUGGAAUAGGACCUCGGUUCUAU